UCUACUGGGUUAAGGCCCCACCCUUAUGACCCCAUUUGGCAUUAAUUACCUACAAAAAGGCCCUGUCUCCACAUAUAGUCGCAUUGGGGGUUAUGGCUUCAACAUAUGAAUUUGGGGUUGGAAGUGGAUACAAUUCAGUCUGUAGUACUUUCUAACCACUAAAUGCCUAUAAAAUGUAAGCUCAGUAAGGGCAAGGACUUGGGCUGUGUUUUUCACUGAGCUGUCCUGUCUUUCCAAGGCCUGUUACAGUGCCUGGCACAGGCACAUAGUAGGCCCUCAAUAAAUGUUUGUUGAAUGAAUGAAUGAUGGCCUCUUCUUCUCUCUGAUGCUCUGAGAUUGAGGAAAUCUGUGAGAAAAGAUCAGGUAAGGAGGCAUUUUUUUUUUCAUAAGAAGUAGAAAGUUUUUAUGUAGUGUUGCAUUUUUCAGUUUUAUGAUAAGAUUUAUAAAGAUGCUCAGUCAUCGCUGCCAGCCCCUGCGCCAUGUCCUCCCUUUGCGCCGUGCUCCUCCGCCUGUGGCAAUGGAAGAAGAGAUCCCCCGCUCUUCAUUGACAAUGGCUCCAGCAUGUGAAAAGUGGCUUUGCUGGGACAAUGUCCUCUGAGCCAUGUUCCCCUCCAUCGUCAGGUGCCCCCGGCACCAGGGUAUGAUGGUGGGCAUGGGCCAGAAGGACUCCUAUGUGGGCGACGAGGCCCAGAGCAAGUGUGGUAUCCUGACCCUGAAGUACCCCAUCAAGCACCGCAUCGUCACAAACUGGGACGACAUGGAGAAGAUCUGGCACCACAUUUUCUACAACGAGCUGCGCGUGGCCCUGGAGGAGCAGCUGGUGCUACUGACGGAGGCCCCACUAAACCCCAAGGCCAACAGGGAGAAGAUGACUCAGAUCAUGUUUGAGACCUUCAACACCCCGGCCAUGUACGCAGCCAUCCAGGCUGUGCUGAUGCUCUAUGCCUCUGGGCGCACCACUGGCAUUGUCAUGGACUCUGGAGACGGGGUCACCCACACGGUGCCCAUCUAUGAGGGCUACACCCUCCCUCACACCGUCUUGCAUCUGGAUCUGGCUGGCCAGGACCUUACUGACUACCUCAUGAAGAUCCCCACCUAGCGUAGUUACAGCUUCACCGCCAUGGCCAAGCGGAAGAUCGUGCGCGACAUCAAGGAGAAGCUAUGCUAUGUCGCUCCGGACUUUGAGCAGGAGAUGGCCACUGCUGCAUCCUCCUCCUCCCGGGAGAAGAGCUAUGAGCUGCCUGACAGCCAGGUCAUCACUAUCGGCAAAUGAGCGGUUCCGGUGUCCGAGGCACUGUUCCAGCCUUCCUUCCUGGGCAUGGAAUCCUGUGGCAUUCAUGAAAGUACCUUCAACUCCAUCAUGAAGAGUGAGGUGGACAUCCCAAAGACUUGUAUGCCAACACAGUGCUGUCUGGCGGCACCACCAUGUACCCUGGCAUCACCGACAGGAUGCAGAAGGAGAUCACUGCCCUGGCACCUAGCACCAUGAAGAUCAAGAUAUCAUGCCCCCAGAGUGCAAGUACUCAGUGUGAAUCUCUGGCUCCAUCCUGGCCUCACUGUCCACCUGCCUGCAGAUGUGAAUUAGCAAGCAGGAGUACCACGAGUCGGGUCCCUCCAUCGUCCACCGCAAAUGCUUCUAAAUGGACUGCAAGCAGAUGCAUAGCAUUUCUGCAUGGGUUAAUUCAGAAGUAUAAAUUUGCCCAUGGAAAAUGCAUACACCUUAUGCUGUCCUCACGAUACCGGAAUAAGCCUUUGAAAAGAAAUUGUCCUUGAAGCUUGUAUCUGAUAUCAGCACUGGAGCAUAGAACUUGUUGCUGAUUUUAACCUUGUAUUCCAGUUAACUGUUGCCCUUGGUAUUUGUUUAAUACCCAGUACCCUGUACAUAUCUUUGAUUUCAAGCCUUAGUACACGUGGCUUGGUCACUUCAUGGCUGAGGUGAGAACGUGCUUGUGGAAGACAAGUCUGUGGCUUGGUAAGUCUGCAUGGCCAGCAGUCUCUGAUCUGUGCAGGGUAUUAAUGUGUCAGGGCUGAGUGUUCUGGGAUUUCUCUAGAGGCUGGCAAGGGCUCCUGAACCAGUUGUUUCUGUCCUGCCGGUCUGUCAGGGUUGGAAAAGUCCAAGCCAUAGGACCCAGUUUUCUUUCUUAGCUGAUGUUUUCCUACUGGAAUACCGUGGGCUGUUACUUGCUUUGAGUCGGAAGCGGUUUGCAUUUAUACCUGUAAAUGUAUUCAUCCUUUUAAUUUAUGUAAUUUUUUUUCUUUUUCUUUUUCUUUUUUGUACAGAAUUCUCAAUUCUUUAAAGAGAUGAUAACAAAUUUUGGUUUUCUACCAUUAUGUGAGAACAUUAGGCCCCAGCAACACACCAUUGUGUAAGGAAAAAUAAAAGUGUUGCCAAUAAAAAAGAUUUAUAAAGAUAAACAAUCUGAGUUAGAUUAUUUAUUUAAUAAAUCAUCUAAUUCAUUCACCCAUUUCUUCUAUCAAAUAUUUACUUAGCACCUAGUAGAUAUUCAUCAUAUGGUUGGGUGCUGUGGGUGAAGCUAAGAAGGGUAAGACACCAUCCUUAUUCUCAAAGCGUUUGCCGUGUGCUUGCUGAGGGAUGUGGUCAACACAGGAAGCAGUUAGGUAACUACACAAUUAUGUAUAAAAGAAUCACUAGAAAGAUCAUACUUCCCUUCCCUGAGAACUAAUAAGAGGAUGCAGUCUUAAGUAAAACAGGAUACCUGCUAGGUAAAAGGCAAAGAUUUCUUUAUGGCAGAGUUGUUUAAGACUUAUAGAAGUAGCUCAGGUAAGCUUAAAACUGAAACAAAGUACUGUAAAACUCCACUAUGAGGCACUUGAGAUAAUAUGAAGUGGGCAUUUGGUUAUUGGCUCCCAUCUUUUGCCAAGCUCCCAUACACAAAUGGGAGCAGGCUCCAACUUUUAUCUUCAAGGGAACAGGAAAGAGAGAGGAGAAAAGGGCAGGGAAGGAAAGGCCCAGUGGGUAAUGAGAGGCAACCUGUCCCCAGAAGCGGAGAAGGGGAAGGGGGGUUUCCAUGUUCUUAGAAUCGCCCCGACCUCAUCUUCCUGAAUUGGGCUGACAACCACACAGAGAUUCCUUGAAUCUUUGCUGUGGUCCUUAGACAGCCAUAGAACCCAGAGUUGCCCCUAUUGAUAUUUAACCAGGAGAAGACAACCGCCAGCACCAGUGGCAUAAAAUCACAGCUGGACCUGCAGAACCCAAGGUUGGCUAGCUGCUUGGACCUACCCAGUCACUCCUUAAUCUUGAUCCUAGCACUAUGGGAGGCUGAGGUAGGCACAUCGCUUGAGCCCAGGAGUUCAAGACCAGCCUGGGCA